rnacentral:lncRNA from 1 species
AGCCGUUGGGCGGUUGACGGGACCGGGUGCCGCGUAGCAGGAGGUGGCGCCCGUCCCCUCGGGGUGGCGCGCGGGAGCCCGCGGCUGGGGGGCGGGGGGCAGGGGACGGGGGCGGGGAGCAGGGUGAGGGCUCCAGCAUGGCAGGCUGCAGGUCCCGAGCCCUGCCCCCUUGCCCCGCGGGGAGGUGGCUGAGGCCCAGCGAAAAUUCGAGCGCGGCGCCGGCGGGCCAUCACUGUUGGGGGACCCAGUGCACCCUCCGCAGCUGCUGGCCCGGGUGCUAAGCCUCUCUCACUGCCCAGGGCCGGCGGCGCCAGCCGACCGCUCAGAGUGCGGGGCGCGCCGAGCCCGCGCCCACCCGGAAGUCGCGCUGGACCUGCGAGCACCGCAGGCAGCCCAGGUUCCGGCCCGCGCCUCUCCCUCCACACCUCCCCGCCGGCAGAGGGAGCCCGCUCAGGCCUCAGCCAGCACAGAGAGGGGCUCCCACGGUGCAGCUGCGGGCUGAAGGGCUCCUGAAGCGCGGCCAGAGUGGGCUGAGGCCGAGGAGGCGCCGAGAGCCAGCGAGGGGAUGCCAGCAAGCUGUCACCUCUCAGAAAUACAGGAAGAACAUCAAUAAUGUUCGAAGUUAUAAAUUGCGGAGGCCAGAAGUCAGAAAACAAGGUGUCUGCAGGACCAACCUCUCCUCUGGAUGCUCUAGCAGAGGAAGAGGAGCGACUGAAGAAGAAAGAGGGUGGAGGUGAAGAUGUGGAGCUCAUAUUGAAUCUUUGGAAAAGUGAAAAUGGCUUUUAGUAUCCAGUAAGAAGAGUAAAUAGAAGAAUUUUAGCCACAAAUGGAAAAGAAAACGUCUCUUCCUCAGCUCAAAGAGACAAGCUCUUGUCAGUUCCUGUAAAAUUUAAUGCUGGUGGGCCUGGAAGCACAUUUCUCAGACACCCUAGCAAAUAGGAAUGACCAAGUAAUAUAAUUUUGCCAAUAAAAAUAUGCACAAUAUUUGGUGGAAAUUUCUCACAAAAUCUUGCUUUCCUCACAUAAAUGUUU